rnacentral:rRNA from 1 species
AUUGAACGCUGGCGGCAUGCUUUACACAUGCCAGUCGAACGGUAACAGGCCGCAAGGUGCUGACGAGUGGCGAACGGGUGAGUAAUGCAUCGGAACGUGCCCAGUCGUGGGGGAUAACUACUCGAAAGAGUAGCUAAUACCGCAUACGAUCUAUGGAUGAAAGCGGGGGACCGUAAGGCCUCGCGCGAUUGGAGCGGCCGAUGUCAGAUUAGGUAGUUGGUGGGGUAAAGGUUCACCAAGCCAACGAUCUGUAGCUGGUCUGAGAGGACGACCAGCCACACUGGGACUGAGACACGGCCCAGACUCCUACGGGAGGCAGCAGUGGGGAAUUUUGGACAAUGGGCGCAAGCCUGAUCCAGCAAUGCCGCGUGCAGGAAGAAGGCCUUCGGGUUGUAAACUGCUUUUGUACGGAACGAAACGGCUCUGGUUAAUACCCGGGGCUAAUGACGGUACCGUAAGAAUAAGCACCGGCUAACUACGUG